rnacentral:rRNA from 1 species
AGUGAACGCUGGCGGUAGGCCUAACACAUGCAAGUCGAACGGCAGCACAGUAAGAGCUUGCUCUUACGGGUGGCGAGUGGCGGACGGGUGAGGAAUACAUCGGAAUCUACUUUUUCGUGGGGGAUAACGUAGGGAAACUUACGCUAAUAUCGCAUACGACCUACGGGUGAAAGCAGGGGAUCUUCGGACCUUGCGCGAUUGAAUGAGCCGAUGUCGGAUUAGCUAGUUGGCGGGGUAAAGGCCCACCAAGGCGACGAUCCGUAGCUGGUCUGAGAGGAUGAUCAGCCACACGGGAGGUGAGACACGGUCCAGGCUCCUGCGGGAGGCAGCAGUGGGGAAUAUUGGGCAGUGGGGGCAAGCCUGAUCCAGCCAUACCGCGUGGGUGAAGAAAGCCUUCGGGUUGUGAAGCCCUUUUGUUGGGAAAGAAAAGCAGCAGGUUAAUACCCCGCUGUUCUGACGGUACCCAAAAAAUAAGCACCGGCUAACUUCGUG